rnacentral:tRNA from 1 species
GGGCCGGUAGAUCAGCCCGGUAGAUCGCCUGCAUGGCAUGCAGGAGGCCGCGUGUUCAAAUCACGUCCGGUCCA